CUCUUCCCUUCUCUAAAGCUUCUGGGUUCGGGACUCAGCCCAGAAAUAUAUUAAUUAAAGCGCACUACUACGGACCUUUUUUUUUUUUUUCCUUUUCUUUUUCUUUUUUUUUUUUUUUUGAAGCAUUGAGGAAGAAGCGGUUGGAUCAAGUCAAGCUCUGUCAACGACGGAUGGAUGAAGAUUCAUGGCAAGAAAAGGAAAAAAAAGCGAUCAAUGCCGCAGCACUCUCUCGUUCACCCUGAACUGGCGAUGAACUCCUCCGGAAUGCCGCCAGCUUCUCCACCCUAUCCCAUCGCAGUUCAGGGUCACCAGGGGGGUGUCUCUGUGCCAAUAUGCAGAUGAGCCUGUGCCCCUCCAAUGACUCUGGUGUUAAGCUCCACCCCUCUAUAUGGUGAAGCUUUUGAAACUAAGUCCACUCCCCCAGACAACACUCACACGCAUAGAGACAUAAAGUCGCUCUCAUGCAGACUUAAACACUCCUUUAACAACUUAUGUCCACUCUUCAUUUAAUAGCCAAAGUGUGUUGAACCUAAUGGAUGUUGUCAAAGCUGAGAUGUGACCACUGAUUUAAAGGAGGAACCCCAGUGAUCAGACAGAGAGAGAGGGAAGAGAAGAAGAGAGAGAAUUACAUCAGCUAUGCCACAAAUCAAAGUAAUAUCUUUAAAAGAUGUGGGAAUCGAUGAGGUGUCAUCUGGCUGUAUCUGGUGUGUAAAGUGAACCCAUAAACAGCCAAUACUACUUUAUCCUCAAUUUUAGCCCGUUGCUGAAAAAAAGUUUUUUUUAAACUGUUAAGCAGAUUUUUUUAUGGGCAAUUGAUUUCAUGUAUUGGCAAAAGAUGUAAUGGACCAAGAGCUUUUCUGUUUUCAUGAUUUUAAUUAUAACUUGUAUCUUGUAUUUAAUUGAUGAACUUUAACAAUAAAGUACCCUGUGUGUUUAUGUGUGCCUUAUUGCAUUAACUAUAAAACAAUUAAGAUGCUAAUUUUAACAGUUUAUUGUAAUUGCAUUAAUCUAAUAAAGUUUAUUCUAAAGACA